rfam:Pristionchus pacificus strain PS312 contig5399, whole genome shotgun sequence.
UCUUCAUUUCACACACUCUCUCGUCGACCGAGCGGGCGAGAGAGUGUGCAAAAUGAAGAGA